ensembl:lncRNA uncharacterized LOC114793333
CCUCAGGUGACCCCCCCACGUCCUGCUGCCACUGCAGGUGAGUAGAGGUACAGGGCGUCCAGGUCGCCGUACAGGAUGAGGUGUGUGUGUGCGUGUGUUCCCGCGGGGGGAGGAGAGAGUGAUUUAGGAGGUGAUGUCGUCCGUCCCUGCCCAUCGUGGACCAAGUCAGUGUUGACAGUGUCAGUGUUAGCUGCGCAUGCUGAUCAAACAGAUCAGAGUAAAUCGAGAGAAAUUUUGCAUCAUCGCUAUGGAAACAGAGCCAGAGCCAGAGCCCAGCCGUGGCAGGGCAGCCUCUGUGGACGAGGAACUUGAUUACGACAUGAAAACAGAACAGACGCAUGCCGCUCCCGCUGUAGGAGAGAGGUCAGAGUCGCCGUCUCCUGCGAGGCUUGCCUGUCUCUUCAGCCCGGACUGCAUGGACGAUGAGGUCUUUCUCGUUCCCACACCAUGCCCUGACUCCAAGACAUCAGAACGUAGUGUGGCAGAACUUUCCAAAUCAGGUAUAAAUGGAGCAUGUGCAUCCAGUGAAGCUAAGAACUUGAUAGACAAACAGCCUGUUAGGUCUGAACCAGAGACCGUGGAUGAUAUGAAUUCCACAUGGCAAGCCACCAAUUCCUCUGCGGCACACGAGGCAUCAAAAACAUCAGAAUAUGUAGAAGGUGAUGAAAAAAAUCCUGCAGAGAAGAAAGAGGUGGGACCCAUCGAAACCACAAGUGCCGCUGAAGAGAGUACGGGCGCUGUCAUACAGGACAGUCAGCAGGGAGAGCUGCUGCUCCAUCGCCUUCAGCUGGUCCAGCAGAGACAGGGCGAGGUGUUUGAGCCUCGGGUAGCCAAGGAAGACACAGAAGAUGGCGAGAAGGCAGACACAACGAAUGGGUAUGACAGCCCUGCUUGCCCUUCAAGCAGACAAACAUCAGGAGCAGUAGAGGGAUCGCUGCUUCCUCCAGCUCACAGCUCGAGUGAUGAUGAUCAGAGUGACAGCGGGGUAUCUGCUGACUUCUCUCCUUGCAGUGCCCAGGAGCUUCAAGCUGCCACCGUGGCAGCUGCCGCUAAACACCAACAUCUCCCUCUGGACUUGGAGCUCAAAGCCAAGGGUCAGAAGGAUCUUACCCAACAGCGCCCGCGGGGCUGCAGAGACGGUCAGACUGUGGCAGAGGUCUACAGAACCAGGUGUCUACAAAAGACGGACAAAAGUCAAGAAGCCUUGAAUAGACAAGGCAGGGCCUGUGGUGACUACAGCAGAGGUUCUGUGCAACAAUUUCGUGAGAGAAAGCAGAUGUUCGAGGCCUUCCAGCAGGGCAGGCCAGUUAAGGUAAAGCCUCAGGUCACCCAAAUGGGCUUCCUGUCCUACUCAAAGUCCACCACGUCAUUAGCCAGCGCUUCCUUGUGUCUGACCUUCCCCUGCAUCUCAGUGUUGGAGCGAACACGAAGCUUGGAUCUGCACAGGCAGGCACCCGAGACGCAGGCUGCCUGGUUUAAUAGCAACAGGACAGGUCCUUCUGACCAACUGGACUCUCAGACCAUGGCUGACGGGACGGAGAGGAAAAGGAUAGUCCUCGAUGGUGAUGUCACCCUUGUAGUCGCGCAGGUCUAUCGCAAGAGGUCCUUACGUCCCUCCCUCAGCACAGGGUGUCUUUUCACAAGACUGACUAAUGAGGAGGAGGAACCAAAGAGGAGAGGGGACGAGGAAGAUGAGAAUGACGAGGAGGAAGAAGGUUCCGCUCUGUACAGAGGGAACCCCUUCUGUAAACUCCGCCCUUCAUUGGCUCUCAGGCCAGAUGUGGCCCGUGAAAUCCGAGAGGCACGGGAGCGGGAAAGAGAACUUAGACAACUGCGAAUGGGUCUUUACGGAGACGACAGGGCUUGGAAGCACAGCUGCGGCUCAACAAAUACGCCAAACACCCAAACUGAAGCAGUUCCUUCAAAAACAGGAACUCAGACCUCCAAAGCUAGCAAGUCAAAGAUCUGCCCUCUGGCAACGCUGGGAAACGGGAAUGGUGAAUGGCUGUGGGGAAGAAGAAGACUGAAGCAGGGUGCCUAUGCAGUCUAAACUCACACAUCUACAGACCAGUGGAGCUGACCUGAUCACCCAACUGCCAGCAAGAAUACUGAGACACACUUAUGAAGCAUUGCAUACACACACACCCAAUCUGGUUCUUGUUGUCCAAGGCUAUUUAAAGUACAGGACUAUAAUUAACACAGUUUAUCCUGUGAAAAAUGGCUGUUAUAUUGAGCUUGUUAAAUUUUCAUCCUUGUAAACCUGAGCGUACAUAAUAUUGAGUUUUACAAGGGGUUUACUAAAGGCGUUGCAUUGCAUUCCUAGCGUGCACUUUAAUCUUCUAACAUGCACAGAAUGCUUUGCCUAAUUUGGUAAAAGGUUUUUGCCCAUUAGAAGGUCAAUAAUACCAAUGAAUUCACAUAACCGUAAAUGAAUCUGAUGAAUAUGAGCUUCAGAAACUGUUACAAACAGUGCUUUAGAACAGUCUGUUCGAAAGAUCUGAUAAACACAUUGUACAGUACUGUUUUGGAUCUGAGUGGGGGAAAAACUUGGAAAUGAAGACAUGUUUCUUUAGGAAAUAAACAGUUAGUGGUUGUUAGCCA